GAUGAAGAACGUAGCGAAAUGCGAUAAGUAAUGUGAAUUGCAGAAUUCAGUGAAUCACCGAAUCUUUGAACGCACAUUGCGCCCCCUGGUAUUCCGGGGGGCAUGCCUGUUCGAGCGUCAUUUCACCACUCAAGCCUCGCUUGGUAUUGGGCAACGCGGUCCGCCGCGUGCCUCAAAUCGACCGGCUGGGUCUUCUGUCCCCUAAGCGUUGUGGAAACUUUCGCUAAAGGGUGUUCGGGAGGCUACGCCGUAAAACAACCCCAUUUCUAAGGUUGACCUCGGAUCAGGUAGGGAUACCCGCUGAACUUAAGCAUAUCAAUAAGCGGAGGA
rnacentral:misc_RNA from 1 species